CCUACGUGUGGCAGCAGUGAGGAAUAUUGGUCAAUGGGCGCGAGCCUGAACCAGCCAAGUAGCGUGAAGGAUGACUGCCCUACGGGUUGUAAACUUCUUUUAUAAAGGAAUAAAGUGAGGCACGUGUGCCUUUUUGUAUGUACUUUAUGAAUAAGGAUCGGCUAACUCCGUGCCAGCAGCCGCGGUAAUACGGGGGAUCCGAGCGUUAUCCGGGUUUAUUGGGUUUAAAGGGAGCGUAGAUGGGUUGUUAAGUCAGUUGUGAAAGUUUGCGGCUCAUCCGUAAAAUUGCAAUUGAAACUGGCAGUCUUGAGUACAGUUGAGGUAGGCGGAAUUCGUGGUGUAGCGGUGAAAUGCUUAGAUAUCACGCAGAACUCCGAUUGCGAAGGCAGCUUACUAAACUGCCACUGACAUUGAUGCUCGAAAGUGUGGGUAUCAAACAGGAUUAGAUACCCGGGUAGUC
rnacentral:rRNA from 1 species